GUAGGUGGCAAGCGUUGUCCGGGAAUUAUUGGGGCGUAAAGCGCGCGCAGGCGGUUCUUUAAGUCUGAUGUGAAAGCCCACGGGCUCAACCGUGGAGGGUCAUUGGAAGCUGGAGAACUUGAGUACAGAAGAGGAAAGCGGAAUUCCACGUGUAGCGGUGAAAUGCGUAGAGAUGUAGAGGAACACCAGUGGCGAAGGCGGCUUUCUGGUCUGUAACUGACGCUGAGGCGCGAAAGCGUGGGGAGCAAACAGGAUUAGAUACCCUGGUAGUCCACGCCGUAAACGAUGAGUGCUAAGUGUUAGGGGGUUUCCGCCCCUUAGUGCUGCAGCUAACGCAUUAAGCACUCCGCCUGGGGAGUACGGCCGCAAAGGCUG
rnacentral:rRNA from 1 species